CAAGCAGCAACGAAGGCCAUCUAACGGAGAUUGUGUGUCAGGCAUCUCGCGUCGCCCCGAAAACACGACAUUCGUUCGUCAUUCCUUGGAUAUAACAACAAAUCCUCCCCGCUCUCGAUUUACUCUUCACGGCUUCUCUUCGAAUGCCUCAACUGUUGAGCUUCCUGCGUCUGCUCCUCCAAGUACAUUUGUCGCCGGUUCCAUGUGCCUAAAGGGAUGACCGACACCCCAACCUGUGACCACUGCGGCCAUGAAGAAUCAAUUGGCCAUAUUUUGUGCACCUGCCCGCAGUACAGUCCACAGAGGGCAUGCCUUAGCCACGAACUUGACCAACUGGACGACCAACCGCUGUCCGAAAAAAGAAUUCUGCAACAUCGAAAGGACCUACCGUCACAGAAGAAGGCCGUGCAAGCGCUUUUGCGCUUCUUGCGAUCUACCGGCCUGUGUGAAGGACUUUAACUGGAACGCCUUUUGUGUGUGUGUCUCCAUGUGUGCGCGUUCGUUUUUUUUUGCCUUUUCCUCUCUGUCGUCUUUCUAACCCCUAUCCCCCAUCCCCAGUGUAGGGUAGCAAACCGGAGACUCAUAUCUGGUUAACCUCCCUGCCUUUCCUCUUCAUUCUCUCUCUCUCUCUACUUUGUACGAGCACUCUUAAAGAACAAAAUGUCCAAGGGUUUAAAAAACUGACUAAUGAGGUUCGGAUUCUUGCGUAUGCAGACGACGUGGCCUUUUUCUGUACCGAUAAAAAGAGUGUAAACACUGCUCUUGCAAUUACAGAAGAAUUUUGUGCUGCUUCUGGUGCAAGCGUUAACUUUGAAAAAAGUUUAGGUUUUUGGUUUGGAUUAUGGGCCACAAUGCCAUCACAUUACGCAGAAAUUCAAUGGAAAGACGAUCUGCGGUAUUUAGGUGUGCCUCUCUCACAGUAUAGAAAUAGCAACGCUCAUUGGUCUGGAGAAGUUGGCAAAAUUCAACGUAAAGUGAAUUCAUGGCGAGGGCGGAAUUUGUCAAUGUUCUUUCGUGCUGAAGUGUGUAACGUUUUCUUGGCUUCCGGUCUUAUGUAUGUGCUCCACGUACUGCACUGCUCAAGACUUCGCCUUCAGGCACUGCAUCGCGUAUUUGCAACAUUCAUUUGGAGUUCGAGCUGUGAAUGGAUGCGGCGCGACAAUCUGUUUCUCCCCCUUGAACGUGGUGGUCUAGGAUUAGUACACCUCUUCGUCAGGCAAAUUGUUUCUCGCCUGUUUUUCUUUCGAGACAGUGACCAUCCGUUCUUGCGUAAAAUGUUGCAACUGCGUUUAGUUCAUUAUGUUCAUAACAUAGUAGUGUCAUCAAAUGUCAAAGAUGUCCCACAGGCUCCUUGGGGCUUUCUCAAGGAGAUUGUUGACACAUUUCUUUUCUUGAAAGUUAGAUUCAGCCUGGAGUACGUGUUCCCAGCGAGCCGAAAAGCAAUUUCUGCGGCACUGGUUGACUCUAUUUUCCCAGAUCCUUUGUAUCGUGCACCUUAUGUAAGCUGACCUUAUCAGGAUGUACUUAAACGCGUCCGAAAAAUGUGUGUGCCUCCUAGAGUAAAAACAGUUUUCUUUAAAUUACAUUCGGAAACACUCCCUGUUAAAUCUUGGUUGAAUUCGAGGGGUUGCUUUGUACCGUGGUCAACAAACUGUCGGCUCUGUCCACGUGCCGAAACCAUAGAUCACUGUUUCAUAGACUGUAGGGACGCUGCAUUUUUUGGGACAUUCUCUAACGGACGCUUAAAAAGCCCAUUGACAUGACUCCAUACUCAAUUAGAUUUCUACCGUUUGAGGUUACAGGUGGUCCUCCCUAUGACAUGUUCAUUGUACCUGGUUUAUACAGCCUGUGGAGAAGUAGACUCUGUGAUCGCCAUGCCGAAAGCCCGCGAACUACAAAAUCCUUCUUUCGUGAAAGUGCUGCGUAUGUAAGAAGUGUGUAGGCUGUGCAGGAACCCCCGCCAGACUGGAUGCACUUGUUGGAUGCAUGUGUGUGUUUGCCUGAGGUUUAAGUGUGUAGUUGUGUCCACUUUGUAAUACACCUUCAGCUUUCUUUUCCAUGUA